UGGGGAAUCUUGCGCAAUGGGCGAAAGCCUGACGCAGCGACGCCGCGUGAGUGAUGAAGGCCUUCGGGUUGUAAAGCUCUGUGGGGAGAGAAGAAUAAGUGCGGGCUAAUACUCCGCAUGAUGACGGUAUCUCCUUAGCAAGCACCGGCUAACUCUGUGCCAGCAGCCGCGGUAAGACAGAGGGUGCAAACGUUGUUCGGAAUUACUGGGCGUAAAGCGAGUGUAGGCGGUUUGGUAAGUCGGAUGUGAAAGCCCCGGGCUCAACCCGGGAAGUGCACUCGAUACUGCCAAGCUAGAGUAUCGGAGAGGUUGGUGGAAUUCUCGGUGUAGAGGUGAAAUUCGUAGAUAUCGAGAGGAACACCGGUGGCGAAGGCGGCCAACUGGACGAAUACUGACGCUGAGACUCGAAAGCGUGGGGAGCAAACAGGAUUAGAUACCCCCGUAGUCCCUGAGCGGGCUGGCAAGGCGCAU
rnacentral:rRNA from 1 species